rnacentral:rRNA from 1 species
GACGAACGCUGGCGGCGUGCUUAACACAUGCAAGUCGAACGAAGUGGCGAACGGGUGAGUAAUACGUGGGUAACCUGUCCUCCUUUUUGGGAUAAGCCUCGGAAACGGGGUCUAAUACCGACUAAAGGGGGCUGGGCUCGCGGCCUAUCAGCUUGUGGGUGGGGGGAGGGCCUACCAAGGCGGUGACGGGUAGCCGGCCUGAGAGGGUGACAGGCGACAUUGGGACUGAGAUACGGCCCAGACACCUACGGGGGGGAGCAGGGGGGGAUGUGACACAAUGGGCGAGAGGCUAAGGCGGCGACGCCUCGUAGGGGAUAUAGGCUUUCGGGUUGUAAACCUCAUUCGCAAACGAACGGGUAGGUGAAGAAGAAGCCCCGGCUAACUACGUGCCAACAGACGCGGUAAUAC